AAAGGGACAAAAUCCUAGGAGUACUAUACAAAGAUAAGAUAGCAUAAAAAACAAAGACUAGCACAAAGUCGUGCAUCAUCUAGCUUGAUGAAAGAGGUCAAAACAACAGCAGCAACACAAAAGGGAUGAUAUUAUAAACACAACAACACUAAGGCCCAUCAUGACCUUUAAAACAAAGAUAAGAGAGCAUAAAAAACAAAGACUAGGAUUUGAAUCUAGAUGUAACAAGCCAUUUAACAAUAUUUGCUGACCAAACAUGUAACAAGCCAUCAACCAUGGAAAAACUGUGACCAUUGACUUGAGAGUACUAGCUAGGCACAAAGUCGUGCAUCAUCUAGCUAGAUGAAAGAGGUCAAAACAACAGCAGCAACACUAAAGGGAUGAUAUAAAUACAACAACAGUACUAAGGUCCAUCAUGACCACUGGAUUUGAAUCCAAUGUUUGAUCUUGGACGUUGACUCAAACCAUCGGUCUUCUGAACUUGAUUUCCCUUUACA
rnacentral:lncRNA from 1 species